rnacentral:lncRNA from 1 species
UAGAUUCAGAUUUAAAAAAAGAGAUUGCAAAACAGGUAUACGAUUUGAUCACAAUCUAAAUUUCAGCAUAUGUCAAUUUCAGCACAUGAACUAGUUUUUUAUGAUUUUAUAUUUUUAUGCAUGCAUGAUUCAGAUUAAAAAUAUUUUAAUCUUAUAUUUUACUAUAGUAUUUAGAAAAUAAAAUUUUGAAACACACAUGCAUGCCCCAAACCUCAAAUUCCAACAGUGGCAUC